rnacentral:rRNA from 1 species
ACUCCUACGGGAGGCAGCAGUGGGGAAUAUUGGACAAUGGGGGCAACCCUGAUCCAGCCAUGCCGCGUGAGUGAUGACGGCCUUAGGGUUGUAAAGCUCUUUUCUCCGGGACGAUAAUGACGGUACCGGAGGAAUAAGCCCCGGCUAACUUCGUGCCAGCAGCCGCGGUAAUACGAAGGGGCGUAGCGUUGCUCGGAAUCACUGGGCGUAAAGGGCGCGUAGGCGGCUGAUUUAGUCGAGGGUGAAAGCCUGUGGCUCAACCACAGAAUUGCCUUCGAUACUGGUUGGCUUGAGACCGGAAGAGGACAGCGGAACUGCGAGUGUAGAGGUGAAAAUUCGUAGAUAUUCGCAAGAACACCAGUGGCGAAGGCGGCUGUCUGGUCCGGUUCUGACGCUGAGGCGCGAAAGACGUGGGGAGCG